CGGCGGCGCGGCGGGUGGUGCGGCGGCGCGGCCGGGCGGCCGGCUCGGCGGGGGCCUCGGGGGUCUCGGCCUCGGCCGCCGG
rnacentral:tRNA from 1 species